rnacentral:rRNA from 1 species
CCUACGGGAGGCAGCAGCAGGGAAUAUUGCACAAUGGGCGGAAGCCUGAUGCAGCGACGCCGCGUGAAUGAUGAAGGCCUUCGGGUUGUAAAAUUCUUUUCGGGGGGAAGAGGCAGGACGGUACCCCCGGAAUAAGCGUCGGCUAACUACGUGCCAGCAGCCGCGGUAAGACGUAGGACGCGAGCGUUAUCCGGAUUUACUGGGCGUAAAGCGUCUGUAGGCGGGGGUGUAAGUUGGGCGUGAAAGCUCUAGGCUCAACCUGGAGAGGUCGUUCAAUACUGCACUCGUAGAGGGGGACAGAGGGGCGUGGAAUUUCCGGUGUAGCAGUAAAAUGCGUAGAUAUCGGAAGGAACACCCGUGGCGAAGGCGGCGCCCUGGGUCCUGCCUGACGCUGAGAGACGAAAGCUAGGGGAGCAAACAGGAUUAGAGACCCUGGUAGUCCUAGCCCUAAACGCUGAAUGCUAGGUGUGGGUGCGUACUGCAUCCGUGCCGUAGCUAACGCGCUAAGCAUUCCGCCUGGGGAGUACGGCCGCAAGGUUAAAACUCAAAUGAAAUGACGG